GAACUGAAGAGUUUGAUCAUGGCUCAGAUUGAACGCUGGCGGCAGGCCUAACACAUGCAAGUCGAGCGGUAGAGAGGUGCUUGCACCUCUUGAGAGCGGCGGACGGGUGAGUAAUGCCUAGGAAUCUGCCUGGUAGUGGGGGAUAACGCUCGGAAACGGACGCUAAUACCGCAUACGUCCUACGGGAGAAAGCAGGGGACCUUCGGGCCUUGCGCUAUCAGAUGAGCCUAGGUCGGAUUAGCUAGUUGGUGAGGUAAUGGCUCACCAAGGCGACGAUCCGUAACUGGUCUGAGAGGAUGAUCAGUCACACUGGAACUGAGACACGGUCCAGACUCCUACGGGAGGCAGCAGUGGGGAAUAUUG
rnacentral:rRNA from 1 species